UACCAGCACCCCGAGUGGUCGGGACGAUUAUUGGGCCUAAGCAUCCGUAGCCGGCCUUACAAGUCCUCCGUUAAAUCCAGCUGCUUAACAGAUGGGCUGCGGAGGAUACUAUAAGACUAGGAGGCAGGAGAGGCAAGCGGUACUCAGUGGGUAGGGGUAAAAUCCGUUGAUCCAUUGAAGACCACCAGUGGCGAAGGCGGCUUGCCAGAAUGCGCUCGACGGUGAGGGAUGAAAGCUGGGGGAGCAAACGGG
rnacentral:rRNA from 1 species